rnacentral:rRNA from 1 species
GACGAACGCUGGCGGCGUGCUUAACACAUGCAAGUCGAACGGAAAGGCCCUGCUUUUGUGGGGUGCUCGAGUGGCGAACGGGUGAGUAACACGUGAGUAACCUGCCCUAGACUUUGGUAUAACUUCAGGAAACUGGGGCUAAUACCGGAUAGGAGCUCCCGCCGCAUGGUGGGGGUUGGAAAGUUUCGGCGGUUGGGGAUGGACGCGCGGCUUAUCAGCUUGUUGGUGGGGUAGUGGCUUACCAAGGCCUUGACGGGUAGCCGGCCUGAGAGGGUGAACGGCCACAAUGGGACUGGGAUACGGCCCAGACUCCUACGGGGGGCAGCAGUGGGGAAUAUUGCACAAUGGGCGGAAGCCUGAUGCAGCAGCGCCGCGGGCGGGAAGACGGCCUUUGGGUUGUAAACCGCUUUCGCCUAUGACGAAGCGGGAGUGACGGUAAUGGGUAAAGAAGCACCGGCUAACUACGUG